UUGACCCUUGAUCUGGUCAAUGAUCUUGUUUUCCAUCUCCUUGCACCCAUUCAUUUCUGUCUUGUUAUCUGAAAUAUCUGAUAUUAUUAUUGAUUAGUUGAUGUCACUAAUUUUUAUACCAAUGGACAUGUCAAUAUGCAAGGAGUGGCGGUUAGAAAGAUUUAAGUGAAAAGAAUCAAUGCAGAGAUAUAAUGCCGCGCGUUGCCGGACCCAUCUGUUUCCCCAACAGGAUGACAGGAACUUACGCAAAUAUAUGGAGACACGAAGUAUUAAAUUUGCUAAAUGUUUACUUUCUCAAAUGAGAAUACUACUUGUUUCCAACAAAUUAGUAUACAAAUACAUAUAUAGGGCUUGGAUGGGUUAGGCAAGUAACAUUAGUGUUGAAGACCCUACAAAAAAACAGAAGUGUUUUAGGACAACAACGUGGGAAAUGCAGGUUAGCAAACCUAUUGACAUUCUUCUUUCUACGAUGACCUCAUCAGCACCAAGAUAUUUAAUCUAACCCAGACCUAGAAAAAUUCAAUUACACAAAAAAGUAAAUAAUAAGAAGAGAAUGAAAGUAGUAAUUUGAAGCACAAACAAAUGAUCAUGGUCAUGCACCAUCCGAAGACAAUGGUAGUCUUACUGAUUUCAAGUUGCAAUUGUAUUGUACCUAUCCCAUAUGAAGUUGUUGGGCGAAGUCCCUGCACUUUGGCGAACUAAAUAAUAGACUGAAAGAUGAAACAAAUCUCACCAUUGUGGACAAUAACAUCACCUAAGUUAACAAAGAUUGGAUGUCAUGGCAUGAGAUGACAUAACACCUACACUUGGAGCUAGCUUAACAUACAGAAGUACCAAUUGUUUAUGUUUCGUAAUCUCAAAGCUAGUCAUCUGACAUGUUUCUUCAGAAAUCUAACAAACCAUGUUGAACUCCUCAACAGUUGGUUAAUCAGGAUAAAAUUAUAGAAUCAUUUAUACGAUGUUAAGUACGGAAUGGACCACAUCUACCAGAGCUUUCCUACCAAAAACAAAUACAUAGAAUGCAACCAAAUACUCCAUGUUUUAGUAAUAAAAUUAUUACCAUGCAGAAAACUGAACAGACCCAAAAUGGUGAUUAUGCAUAUCAUUGUUCGCAGCAGAGGUAGAUGCCUAGGUGGCAAUGAGUGGAUCCUAGUUAUGGAGGACAUCGCCGGGAGAUGGCCUUGAGCUGGCGAAACAUCAGUCGGUACUGUCUUAACC
rnacentral:lncRNA from 1 species